UCUACAGCAUUAACCUGAGUUUGAGAAGCCAAAUAUUUUGCCCAAGGUCACAUGUGGAUAGCAGUAGAUGGGAGAUGGCCAAGCUGCAGGAGGUGCACUCGUUUUAAUCCAGUCAAGAAGAUGGACCUUUCAUAUGAGGAAUUGGGUAUAUAGGUACACACUGAGAUAGCAACUGCUGGAAGCAGCUACCACAGCUGGAGCUGGAAGAACAAAAGAAUAAGGUUGGGCUUGUCAGCACAAACAAACUUGGAGUGGGACUCUCUGGAGUUUAUACUGAGACCCCUGAAAAGAGCACAUCAGCCAACAGGGCUGAUACUUCUGAGGGGUACACUGAAAUACAAUGAGAGUUUAGAAAAAAAUCUGAAACUAGACCAGGUGUUGCAGCCAAAGUGAUGUUAACAGAAAGGGCGAGCAGACAGGAGAGAGCAGCUUCUUUUUCUCUCCUCCACUCUUCUAAUGUUCCUCUAAAGUUCCCUAUAGCAGAACUUAACAAGGGGCCCACUGGGUGGGAGAAAUGUGGUUCUCACAUUUCCAGUUCCAGGAUACAAGGAAUGUAGGAGGGUGGGUUUGGAGCUGAACCGCCAUAGUUUUAUUAUCAACUGCUCUUGGAUCAUCUGCCUACUUGUUGGACAACACUUACACUUACCCCUAUGGGCCUCUUCCACUCAGUAAUCUCCAACUUAUGUCCUUGUAUGCAGUAUAGUGAGCACUAGUAAUAUCCCAGGUUGAACACCUGGUAGAAAAGGAGUUGACUCUGAGGAUCCUACUGAAAAGACCUGUAAAGCUGUAACUGCCAGAGGCUUCUGAGGCCAGAAACUGUCAUCAACUAUUUUCUUUGCUUACAAGAGCAGCUGCCAGAAAACCACGAUUGUAAGACUCUGAUUAAAGCUGGCAGUAGCAGGUA